rnacentral:rRNA from 1 species
UGGGGAAUCUUGGACAAUGGGCGCAAGCCUGAUCCAGCCAUGCCGCGUGAGUGAAGAAGGCCUUCGGGUUGUAAAGCUCUUUUUACCAGGGACGAUAAUGACGGUACCUGGAGAAUAAGCCCCGGCAAACUUCGUGCCAGCAGCCGCGGUAAUACGAAGGGGGCUAGCGUUGUUCGGAAUUACUGGGCGUAAAGCGCACGUAGGCGGAUUGUUAAGUCAGAGGUGAAAUCCCGGAGCUCAACUUCGGAACUGCCUUUGAUACUGGCAAUCUCGAGUCCGGAAGAGGUUAGUGGAAUUCCCAGUGUAGAGGUGAAAUUCGUAGAUAUUGGGAAGAACACCAGUGGCGAAGGCGGCUAACUGGUCCGGUACUGACGCUGAGGUGCGAAAGCGUGGGGAGCAAACAGGAUUAGAUACCCUCGUAGUCCCUGAGCGGGCUGGCAAGGCGCAU